rnacentral:lncRNA from 1 species
CUCCUGAGCUUGUUUUUCUAUCUACAAAACUGAACCAUUAGAAAAAGGACAAAGUCAAAUGAACCCUGUAAGACAGACAUGUACACAUCACAAUCAAUAUAGUUCACCAAUUGCUAAUAGUAUCCUAGAAAAGACCUUGCUAUGAAAACUUUUUUGAAUAUUUAAUAAUGAAAAUGAGGCUGAGGUCAGAUAAAAUCUGCCAAUAUGAGGAGAUGCUUUGUCCAUGUGGAGAAGGAGACAGAUAUAUACUUAAAUGAUAAUAUUACAAAUCAUCGAUUGAUUGUUGGGUGUUUUAAUGUCAUUUUUAAGCUAUUUCAUGGCGUCUAGUUUUUAUUGGUGGAGGAAGUCGGAAGUGACCAGAGAAAACUAACAACCUUCGGUAGGAAAACUUACAAUCCUAGUCAAUUAAGAUUGGAGUCAACUGUUGACUGGCUAGUGAUUAUGGUAGUAGGACUACUAAGACUACUUGGCCAACGAGGCCCUGUAUUACAUAUCAGGACAAGAACUUGUUAACGCGAUAUGAGUAUGAACCAGGCUUUGUAAAGGAUCAACAUGUUUAGACAUACUGUGCUAGUUCUCAAGGAAAUAGUCUACAUGAAGAUGUCACCAGAAAUGGAAACAUUGACCUGCCUUGGAGUAGACCAGUCUUAUGUAUAACUCCUAAAUGCUACAUAAUAUGCUGUGGACAAAAAUAAUUUUACAAAGAAAAUGAUCAAAUCAUCAGCUUAAAAUUAUCAACAUAUUAGACAUCAUAGAUCAUUUAACAACAUCAUCUAGUAA